rnacentral:rRNA from 1 species
GCGCCUAACACAUGCAAGUCGUGCGAGAAAGGGCUUCGGCCCCGGUAAAGCGGCGCACGGGUGAGUAACACGUAGGUCAUCUACCCUCGAGUGGUGGAUAACUCUCCGAAAGGAGUGCUAACACAGCAUGAGACCACGGUCUCGCAGAGAGACUGCGGCCAAAGCGGGCCUCUCCCUGGAAGCUCGUGCUUGAGGAUGAGCCUGCGGCCCAUCAGCUAGUUGGUAGGGUAACGGCCUACCAAGGCAGAGACGGGUAGCUGGUCUGAGAGGAUGAACAGCCACACUGGAACUGAGACACGGUCCAGACUCCUACGGGAGGCAGCAGUGGGGAAUUUUGCGCAAUGGGCGAAAGCCUGACGCAGCGACGCCGCGUGAGCGAUGAAGGCCCUCGGGUUGUAAAGCUCUGUGGAGAGGGAAGAAUAAGGGCAAGCCAAUACCUUGUCUGAUGACGGUACCUCUUUAGCAAGCACCGGCUAACUCUGUGCCAGCAGCCGCGGUAA